AAAUAUAUAUAUAUAUAUGUAUAUAAUGCAAAUUUUAACUAUAGUUAAGCAUGUAUACAUAAUAUAUAUGUUUACAGUAUUACACAUUUGAAUUCAACUAGGGUUAAGCUACUUGGCUUCUCAAGAAUGGCUUCUAAGUGUCUUACCGUGCAACCCUGGACUCAAAAUGCUCUUGGAACCAUUUUUAAAUGUCUUUCAAGUUUCCUCAUUAAUUAGUGAGUUGAAUAAAAUCUUUGACAAUUGCUCAUUCUAUAUUUGCAUGAGCUAACAUGGCAAUAUAUAAGGCUAAACCAAAUAUUAUUUUAGCAACACUGUAUUUCCUCACUCUUACUCGGUGGUCCCCAGGCAGCAUUCUCAGCAACAGCUGCCAAACCAUCCAAGAAUGGACUGCUUAUUCAACCAGCUGGGGGAGGUGGUCUUUCCAUUGCAAUUGGGUACACUGGGAUUCCUGUUUAAGAAAGCAUUCUAUGAAUGAGUGUUGAUUUAAUUAACCCUAAGAAAAGUUAAGCUUCACGAAGUGACAAAUUUAAUUUCAUGACUUUAAAAAAUGAAGCUCUAACCUUGAGAUAGAUAUCUUUCCAAAACUGUAACCACUAAGGUUCUACUUGAAACAAGCAGCCAGCUAUACCCUUACCUCCAAUGAGAGUACAUGUGUAGGGCUUUAAUCAGAAGUUAGUUGUAAACAGGGAAAAUGCUAUUAGCAAACUCAUUGUGUAGGCUUCCCUUUAAACAUGUCUUUGUGGAGGCACUUCUCCCAACUACAUGGUGACAACAAAGAGAUGUCAAGAAAAAGGAAGAAUUUUCUAUACCACGAAAGGCAUUGAUUCAAUACUUCCACUUCUCCAGCUACCUCAUAAAUUGUGGAACUUGGGAGAGCAGCUUAGGGACAUAAGUACUUAGGAUGUUAACAACUAAACUUAACUAUAGUCAUGAGAAUAAUUGCUGUAUUCCAUUUAU
rnacentral:lncRNA from 10 species